CGCCUGUUUAUCAAAAACAUGUCUUUUUGAAAAUAAUUUAAAGUCUGGUCUGCCCACUGAUUUAUUAAUAAUUAAAGGGCUGCAGUAUAUUGACUGUACAAAGGUAGCAUAAUAAUUAGUCUUUUAAUUGAUGACUUGUAUGAAUGAUCGGAUAAAAUAUAAACUGUCUCUUAAUAAAUUUAUAGAAUUUAAUUUUUUAUUUAAAAAGUUAAAAUAAUUUUAAAAGACGAGAAGACCCUAUAGAGUUUAAUAAUUUUAUAAAUUAAAAUUAUAUAUAUAAAUUCAAUUAAAAAUUAUAAAUUUAUUUUGUUGGGGUGAUAAAAAAAUUAAUUAAACUUUUUUUAAAAUUUAACAUAAAUAAAUGAAUAUUUGAUCCAAUUUUUUUUUUGAUUAUAAGAAUAAAUUACCUUAGGGAUAACAGCGUAAUUUUUUUUUUUAGUUCUUAUAAAAAAAAAAGUUUGCGACCUCGAUGUUGGAUUGAGAUAAAAUUUAAAUGCAAAAGUUUAAAAUUUUGAUCUGUUCGAUCAUUAAAAUCUUACAUGAUCUGAGUUCAAACCGGAG
rnacentral:rRNA from 1 species